GUGAACAUAGCUCAAUGGAAGAGCAACCGGCGGAAAACGGCAAGUACAGGUUCGACUCCUGUUGUUCACA
rnacentral:tRNA from 1 species